rfam:Actinospica robiniae DSM 44927 genomic scaffold ActroDRAFT_ARA.1, whole genome shotgun sequence.
UCGGUCCCGGUUCCCGUCCGCGCAUCUCCGCGCCGGCGACCCGGCGGCC